GACGAACGCUGGCGGCGUGCUUAACACAUGCAAGUCGAACGGAAAGGCCCUGCGUUUGUGGGGUGCUCGAGUGGCGAACGGGUGAGUAACACGUGAGUAACCUGCCCUUGACUUUGGGAUAACUUCAGGAAACUGGGGCUAAUACCGGAUAGGAGCUCCUGCUGCAUGGUGGGGGUUGGAAAGUUUCGGCGGUUGGGGUUGGACUCGUGGCUUAUCGGCUUGCUGGUGGGGUAGUGGCUUACCCAGGCUUGGGCGGGUAGCCGGCCUGGGAGGGUGAACGGGCACAAUACUCCUGAGAGACGGCCCAGACGGCUACAGGGGGCAGCGGUGGCAAGUAUUACCCAGUGAGCGCGCGCGUGAUGCAGAGGCGCCGGGUUCGGAAAGACGGUCUUCGGGUUGUAAACCGCUUUCGCCUAUGACGAAGCGUGAGUGACGGUAAUGAGUAAAGAAGCACCGGCUAACUACGUG
rnacentral:rRNA from 1 species